rnacentral:lncRNA from 9 species
AGACCUCCACAUCCUCCUCCUUCCUGAUCCACCUGAGUAUCUUCCUCCUCUGCUGGACACCUGUGCCAAGAAACAUACCUAAAUCCAGAGAUCUUCAUAUUGUCUUCCUCCCGUGCUGGACACGUGUGCCAAGGAACCUACCUAAAUCCAGAUCUAUGUCCUCCUCCUCCCUGCUCCACCUCAGCCUCUUCCUCCCUGCUGGAUACCUGUGCCAAGGAACCUACUAAAUCCAGGUAAAAGUGAAUAACGCCUGGUGUGGGGGGGGGGGCGCCUGGAUUUCAGGGCAGGUGUCAAUCCCGAAGUGUGCUGAUUGAUUGGCAGCUGGCUAUCAUGACCUACAAGCUGUACGUCUGAUGAGGGAAUUGGAUGGUGUCCUGAGGGGUGAGUGUCCUGGUUGAUGUGGAGGGAGUCACACCACAGCCAUGGUGCAUGUUAGUGCUCUGAGGUAGAGGCGUGAAGGAGUCACACUGGCACGUGCCCCAGGGCAGUGCAGACCAGGGUUCUGCUGUGGAAGGCAGAGGAAGGGCUGAGAGUUGUUGUUAUGGCAGUGUCCCCCAGAUGGCGCCAAAGUGUCAACAGAGCUGCUCUGCAUCUCCAGGCUCAGAACAGGAAUGGAGAUGGAUCCAGCAAACCUCAAGGAGGUGCCCAGAGCCUUGUGUUUUGUGCACGUGGAGCCUCUGACCCUUUGGCCCAAUUUGCCUCCACUUACUCUGGGGACAUGCAUCUGCCAUCACAUGUCCAACUAGAUUCCUGUUGGGUUGGGAGACACAAUGAUGGGAGAUUUUGACAGGCUUUCUGUGGUCGGAGUAUCCUUUGCUUGUUUGGAGACAGAGCUCUGGCCCCAGAAACACUGGUCUUGACUGUGAAUGGUACAGUUUUCCAGAAAUAUCUUGGAAGGGAAUGUUGCUUCUGGAACACAGAGCUUCAGGUCCUGAAUGCAGUGUUUCAGUGUAAUCAUUUGAGGGGGCCAGCCUGAGCCUAUCCCUAUGCUCCUUCUCCCCAGUGAUCUCUACAUCAUCCUCCUCCCUGCUGGACACCUGUGCCAAGGAACCUACCUAAAUCCAGAGUCCUCUGCAUCCUCCUCCUCCUUUCUCACCCCGAGCAUCUUCCUUGUCUGCUGGACACCUGUGCCAAGGAACCUACCUCAAUCCAGAAAAAUUAAGAGCCUUACGGAGGGGGCAAGCGUUUUCCCUCUCAAAGCCUCCCGCAGCCCUCACUGCUCCCUGUCAGCACUGCUUGAAGUCAAUCACCAGGAAAAACUCCAACUCAGGUUCUGGUGUGAUGUCUUGAAGGCCCUGACCUAGAAGCCUCAGCCUGGGCCUCAGAGGGGCUGGCACUGGUAGUCAGAAGGUUUGCAUCUGGACAAGGAACAGGAUAGACUCACUACUCAUCUAUUAGUAAACAAAUAUAGUGCAAGCUUAGUUUUUUUAUUGUGUAGAUUUAGGAUUAGUUUCUGAUAUAUGUUCUACAAUUGGUAUGUAAGAUUUUUGUAUUAAAUAUUUUUCUAUCAAUUUGCUUUUUAAAUAUUUUUCUAUAAAAUAAAUUGCAUAUGUAGAAAAGCCCCCUAAACUUAGGUAAAACUUAAUGAUUUGGUAUCAGGCAGUUACCUUAGUGUCUACCCCCAAGAUCACCCACUCUCCUAUCAUCCUCAUUUGGAGUUGACUUAAGAAGGGGACUAUGAAUUUAGUACUUUCCAUCUGCCCUAUGUCAGUGUGUUUUUAAGGAUCCUGUUGUCUGAAAUGUGUUAAUUCUUUUGAUCGUGGGAACAUCAUCCUCGAUCCUUCAUGAUGACAUGAAUGUCAGGGUCUUUGACACCCAGUCACUCACCUGAUAUAAAAUCCAUGACUCACCAUUUCUCUCCUCAGUGUCUCUAACAUAUUGCUCUUAAUUUCUUCUGGGACAGCCUAUUCACUCUAUACGUGAUCAAAAUAUCAUUUUUCUUCCCUUAUGUGUUUCUUGCUCUUUUAUUCUGGAUGCCCAAAGGAUUUUUUUCUUUAAAGAUCAGUAGUUUUAUAAUUUGCUCUUAGUCAUUGCAAGUCAAUGUUCAUUUUCUCUUUAAUACAAAACUUCAAAGGUUUUUCAUAUUGAAAAAAAUUUGCGCAAUAUUAUUCUCUGUGUAUCCUUGCUGUGGUUUUUCUGUUUCAGGUCCCUCAGUCCUUCAAAUAUCAGAUUUCUUAUGAUUAUACUUCACUUUUGACACAAUCAUUAACAAUUAAUAAUUUCUUUCUUUUUUGUCUUUUUAGUGUCACACAUGCAGCAUAUAGAAGUUCCCAGGCUAGGGGUCAAAGUGGAACUGUAGUUGCCGGCCUGUGCCACAGACACAGUAACACAGCAUCCAAGUUGUGUUUGUGACCUACACCAGAGCUCACAGCAAUGCCGGAUCCUUAACCCAGUGAGCAAGGCCAGGGAUUGAGCCUGCAUCAUCACAGAUACUAGUCAGGUUCAUUACCCCUGAGCCACGAUGGGAACUCCUAGAAUUUGUUGAUUAAUUUCAUUCCCAGGAGUGUUUUAAAACAGUGUUUAAACUUACCUCCUUUGGAGUUCCUGUCGUGGAGCAGCGUAAUCAAAUCUGACUAGGAACCAUGAGGUUGCGGGUUUGAUCUAUGGCCUUGCUCAGCAGGUUAAGGAUCUGACAUUGCCGUGAGUUGUAGUAUAGGUCACAGACGAGGUUCAGAUCUCAUGUUGCUGUGGCUAUUCCCAUGUUACUGUGGCUGUGAGGCAGGCCAGCAAAAAAGGAAUAUUCACUAGUAGCUAUUGCAUGAGGUGAAAUGUAAAUUGGAUGCAUUAUUAGGCAAUAUUGUAUGUAAUAUAUCUUAAGAAUGGAGUAUCCUCAAAAAAAAAAAAAAAAAAAAAA